GUUUAAGGGAGAGAAGCACAUUGCAAAGCAACAAAUUCAACUGCUGUGCGGGUUGCUGGCCUGCUACAAGCUAUUUCCUCCAAGAAACCAGCAGGCCAGCAGCAAGACACCAGUGGCUGCCAGCAUCACCAAGUUACAGCAGGUA